CGUCCAGGUCUGCAGCAACGUCAAUUCUUGCCUCCUAAGAAGGAAGAAUUCGACUGAGGGGCACAAAGCAGAAAGGGCGACUGAGUCAAGUUCCAGAGCAGGAAUGAAAGUUUAUUUUAAAAUGCCUUAGAACAGGAACGAAAUGAAGGUGUGCAUGGAAAAGACCCACGCAGGCACAUGAAGGUUAAAGAGAGAAGAGAUGGAUCUCAAAAAAGAAAUCAAAACUGGCUCAGAUUUCCCAAGGAUUUCCAUAUCUAUAUACUAGAAGAUAAUUCAGACUUAUGCAUCUGAGAAGGGUAA
rnacentral:lncRNA from 10 species